UCUGAGGCAGUACAGAAUGAAAUUGAACCCCUUGAAAUGCUCCUUUGGAGUGGGUUUGGGUAAAUUUUUGGGGUUUAUAGUGAACUCCAGGGGAAUAGAAGCAAACCCCGAGAAAAUAAAAGUGUUGCUGGACAUGCAUUCACCAGCCAGGAUCACAGACGUGCAAAGCCUGACAGAGCGUAUAUCAACAUUGAGCAGGUUUGUAUCCAAAUCUACUUAUAAGUGCAUUCCAAUUUUUAAUAUCCUCAGGGGAACCAAGAAAUUUGAAUGGACCGAGGAGUGCGAACAAGCCUUCCAAGCUCUAAAACAGUAGUUGGCACAACCCCCGAUCCUUUCAAAACCCCUGGAAGGUGAAGAGCUGUGCAUAUACCUGGUUGGCAGUAACGGAACAUGCUAUCAAUGCAGUCCUGGUGAGAGAGGAAGACAAAGGCUAACACCCAGUCUACUAUGUUAGUAAAAGGCUGAUCGAGGCAGAAAGCAGGUAUCCUGUGAUUGAAAAAUUAACUUACUGCCUGCUCAUGUCUUCCAGAAAACUUCGCCCAUACUUCCAAUCUCAUCCCAUUAAAGUCCUUACCGACCAACCAUUGUGCCAAGUCCUGCAAAAGGCAGACACCUCUGGUCGGCUACUAAAAUGGUCUAUAGAGCUGGGGUAGAAUGAGAUCACCUACCAGCCUCGAACAACAAUUAAAGGUCAGGCUCUAGUAGACUUUGUAGCUGAGUGUACCGGUGUACCAGAACCAAAUGAGGAAAUGGCCGAGCAGCCAUUAGAAUCUGGACCACUGCCCAGUACAAGCACUGAGCAGAACACCGAAUAACCAGAGUCUAGUAUUAUCCAUUCUGAGAAUGAAUCACAAGUCUGGAAGCUGCAUGUCGAUGACUCGUUUACCGAACAACUAUCCGGGGAAGGUCUUACACUAAUAAUGCUUGAAGGGCAACACAUCCAUUGUUCACUCCAUUUUGGGUUUAAUGCAUCUAAUAACGAAGUGGAGUAUGAAGCAUUAAUUGUGGGCCUGAAGUUAGCAAAAGAAGUGAAGGCUGAAUUCUUCGAUAUAUAUAGUGAUUCGCAGCUUGUUGUCAAUCAAGUCCUAAGUGAGUACACUGCUCGGAAAGAAAAAAUGAUGGCCUAUCUUAUUAAGAUCAAGGACCAGCUUGCUCAAUUCAAGAAAUACACCAUCCAAUAGAGUAGAACGCCACAUCAGAUGUGUAACGCCCUACUUCAUUAGAGCCAUUACUAAGUGAGUUUUAAAUGUGCAAUUAACUCGCUAAUCGAGGUUUUAGGUUAAAAGUGUAGCUAAACUGUAAUAAAAGCCAUAUAAUUUGAAAACGUACUCAUUCAUUGAAAUUAUAAAGUGUUAUACAUUUGGGAUCCCGAAAUUACUAUUUAGAAAUAUUGACAACUCAAAAUAUGAUUUAAGUCAACUAAACGACAAAACUUUGAUUAAUACAUAAUGUCUCCCAAAAAUACCCCUGGCCGUGGCAGCCAGGCAGGCCAAACAUGUACACGUCGCUUCACGCUCUCCGUACUCAUGGUUGGUCGACCUUUCCCUUGCCCUUACCUGCACCAUAGAGCACCCAUGAGCCGAAGCCCAGCAAGAAAACUCAACACAAAUAAUCAACAUAUACAUAUCCAGCAACUAGCAUAUAACAAAGCCACCAACCGGCUAAACAUAUAGCGGCCAUGCCGUCCCAGGCGCUUUACCAGGCCCUGGGUUCGUCGUCUAUACCGUGAGGAUGACUCAUGCAUCCGAGAAGGAUCUCACCCUAAACGGCUUAAACUCCAUGUGCUUAAUGUCGCUCCCAGCCCCUUGCAUACUCGGCCUUGCACUCCACGUGCUUAACGCCGUUCCCGGUCCCUUGCCAUACCCGGCUUCCUGAUGCCUGUACGGUUGUUCAAUUCUAUCUUUUCUUCUUAUUAUUCUUUUUUGACUUUCAUUAUGUGAGAUAAAAUAAUUUUUGAUUAUGUUAUAUCAUCAAUGUAAUGAUCCAUCAACCUGCUAGUUCUUUUUAUGCAUGGGUCUUGGUCGGGGGCUUCGACGACCUAUAGAGAAUGGGGUGGCUCUCAAACUGAAACACAUGUGGUAGGGUCUCUCUUUGUGUGCAUACCAACCCGAGUUGGAUCAAUGAGGAUGGUCUGAUCUGACCUCUCAAUCGUGGUCGUCGGUCAUUCACAAAUAAGCAUACAUAGCAUAACAUCAAUAACUACUUAAACAUGUACCAAACAUAAACGCCCUGCAACUCAAUCACAUAGGGUCGUGACCUGCAAUACAAACUAUAGGGCCACACCUUGCUCUACGAGUACAACAGUUUUCUUACUUGUGUCUCGAGCUUCUUAAGCACUGAAAUCCCGAGCACAGUCCUCUAACCCGAGCCUCGCUGAAAAACCUUAAGUAGGAAUUCGACCUGAGAUGCUUUAAAAUCCAUUUCCAAGCUCAAAUCCACAAAUUCGUAAGCUUAAGCUUCACAAAAACCUUGAUCUUAACUAAGCCUCUGAACACUUGGAAUUUCUAGCCUAAAAUCCUUCAAAAUCAAGCUCUAUGGUGAGAGAGAGAGAGAGAGAGAGAGAGAGAGAGAGAGAGAGAGAGAGAGAGAGAGAGAGAGAGAGAGAGAAUCGAAUUGGAGAGUGAGCUGAGAGAAAUUGAUCCUUUUCCUUCCUUUCCUCUGUUUUGUCUAGGUGCCUCUAGAAUUCCCAGCUCCCACUGAGUAUAUCCACUUGCCAAAAUGACUGAAUUGCCCCCUUAAGUUAACCUAAGUCCUCAAAUAUCACCACGGGUAGUUUAGUCAUUUAACAUAUCCCGUUAAGUCCUCGAGCACACCUAAAAAUCCCGUCAUACUCAAUUCAUUACUAAAUUACUACCCGAUACUUAAUAAAUCCCAAACUCAUAUUAUAUACCCAAAAUACCCCUAGGCUCCUCCUGAACCGGGUAUUUGACCCAGUUGUGACUUUCCAUCUAAACUGCUCCCUAGGACCGUCUCGGAUCGUGCAUCACAAUUAUAUCACCACUCACACGUGGUGCCAAUCACAAUAUACACAAAUAUUUCAUUUAUGCCCUCAACGGGCUAAAAUUACAAACAUGCCCCUAAUAACCAAAUGGGGCCCACAUGCAAAUUUAAUUCACCUAAACAUGCAUUUCUAAUCACAUACUUAUCAAAUUCACAUAUUAACAUAAUAAAUCAAUUAUUGCCCUCUAGGCAUUCUAAUCAAGGCCCUAAGCCUUAUUAGCAAAUUUGGGACGCUACAAGAUGCACUGGCCAGAUUGGCCAGCAGUGCUGUGGUGGACAAGGCCAACCUGGUUCCUAUUGAGUACGUGGCCAAACCCAGUAUCAACCUGCCAGAACCAGUCCUUCUAAUAGACAACACUCCAUCCUAGAUGAUCCCAAUUGCAGCCUAUCUAGAGCAAGGAACCCUUCCUACCAACCGUAAUGAGUCUAGAAAACUAAUAGGAAAGCUGGUCGGUACUUAAUCCUGGAUGGGGUUAUGUACAGAAGGGGAUUUUCCAUGCCAUUGCUAUGAUGUGUCAACCAAACAUAAUCAGGACAAAUGCUGGAGGAGGUACAUGAGGGUUUUUGUGGAAAUCAUGCUGGAGGGCAAAGUCUGUCUAAGAAGAUUUUAAGGCAAGGCUACUUCUGGCCAACUAUGAAUGAAGAUGCCUUUGCAUAUGUCCGAAGAUGUGACAAGUGUCAAAGAUUUGCUAAGACACCCCGAGCAGCCUCAAAUGAGCUUACUCAAAUGCAGAGUCCAUGGCCCUUCGCCAUUUGGGGAAUUGACCUUAUUGGUCGGUUACCAAAGGGAAAUGGGGGAGUACAGUAUGCAGUAGUGACAGUUGAUUACUUCACCAAGUGGAUGGAAGCCGAGCCACUGGCUACCAUCACUUCCAAAAAAGUACUGGACUUUGUGGAGAAAAAUAUAAUCUGUCGGUUUGGUCUAUCCCAGAAGAUAUUGUUCGACAAUGGCACCCAGUUUGACAACCAACUGUUCACUGUUUUGUGUGCCAAGCAUGGCAUUACAAAAAUAUUUUCAGCAGUCUCGCACCCUCAAGCAAAUGGGCAGGUAGAAGUAGUUAAUAAGACUCUCAAAGACACUCUGAAAAAGCGUUUAGAAGAGGCUAAAUGAAACUGGUCUGAGAGAUUGCCUAAAGUACUAUGGUCAUACAGGACUACCGAGCGAACAACCACUGGUGAUACCCCCCUUUGCACUCACAUAUGGGUAUGUAGCAAUGCUACCAGUUGAGGUGACUCCCCAAUCUCAUCGGUGUACGACAUAUGACCAAGAUCAUAACCACUAGCUGCUAGCUGAAUCCUUAGACCAAAUUGAAGAAAGACGCGAAAGGUCCAACAUACGCCUGGCUGCCCAUCAGCAAAAGGUUGCCCAGUACUUCAAUUCCAAAGUUAAGGAACGAAAGUUUGACAUGGGAGAUCUAGUCCUGCAAAGAAUAUUCCCAGAAACUCGAGAUGCCUCGGCAGGAGUAAUAGGUCCAAGCUGGUAGGGGUGCACACGGGACCCGCAAAACCCGAAAACCCGAACCCGGAGAACCCAUUUUUUUUCGAAAAAACUGACAAAAUCGAGUCUAACCCGACUCGAACCCGAAAAAAUCGGGCCGGGUUCGGGUUUAUGAGACAUGUGCCGUCGGGUUCGGGUGUAACCCGAAACCCAACAGAAAUUAAAAAAAAAAAAAAAAAAAAAUCUGAAAAAAAUCUGAGCCCUAAAGUAACUAAGUACUAACCCGACCCCUUUUUUUUUUGGUCUUCUUCUCCUUCGUUUCAUUCAAGCGGCAGCCUCCCUCUUGAUUCAAGAGUCUUGAAUUUCAAGCUUCGGCACAGUAGCAGGAGAGAAGAGAGCCCAUCCGAGUGCCACUGCCGACCCGACCCAUCGAGACGAGAGCCCGGAGCCUCCCUCACCCUCAGCUCUCAUGCGGUGGCACCACCAGAUCGCACGGCCACCAACAGCGGCGCGGCACACCUCGCCUCGCCAGCAGCGGUCCGGAAAGCACGGCUAUAUAUAUUUACAUUUAGUAUAUAUAUAUAUAUGUUAGGCAGUUUUGUUUUGGUUGGAAAUAAGGGCAAGUCUUGUACACAAAAGUCAUACUGAAUGAAACUAUGUACAAGACUGAAACUAUGUUAGGCAGUUUUGUUAUUCUUGAUGGUGCAGAUUUGGGAAGAAAAAUUUUGCAUGACUACUUAUGAUGUGUUUCUUAAUUUCUAUUUCCUUUUUUAAUUUUUACCUUGGGAUAAAUUGGCAAUGUGGGUUCAGUUUGAAAUUUCGGUUUCCGAAAUCCAGCUUCAAGAUCUUCUGCUGCAAUAUUAAAAUCAGAGAUUUUGUUAUACAAUUUUUUAGUUCAACUUUUGUCAGGCAAUGAACAUAUGAUGCAAUAAUAAGGACCAAUGACUAAAACUUUAUUGUAUGCGAUGGUCAAAAGUAUAUUUUUUGUGUGUAUCAGUGUGUGUUUUGUUCAUAAUCAAAACAAGGGUCAAAUUGUUUCAUCAGUUUAAAAUUCAGUCCGAGCUUGAACAGAGACCAAGGGAACUCAUAAAACUUCUACUUGUGUGAUAAAUUACUGAUAUGCUUUAAACUAGUUUCAUAUGUCGUAAGAACGUGUGUGAAGAGUAUUAUUAUUUUAUCUUUUUUAGAACUUACUAGUGAGAAAAGAAGAACUCUUUUUAUGAUUUAAAUUUAGACCAAUCUAAAGUUUCCACACUUGCUUCUAAAUCUUUGUAUUCAUAACAGUAUUGUGAUUAUUACUUCUUCUUUUGUCUAGCAAUAACAAUUACUUGAAUUUCCAUUGAUUUGUUAGGUAAUGGAUAUUGAUGAGGUAGAUGAAACUCUUCCCCCAAUAGAUGAUCAAGAUCAACCACCUCUCACUCAAACUGAAAACCCUACUCCUCUUACUGAUCAGGGUAGAAAAACUAGAGCUAGAAAGAGGGUUAGACCUCCCCCCAUCCCUAGUGCUAGUAGUACCGGGAAAACAAAGGGAAAAGGGUCAUCUAUUUGGGAUCAUUUUACUAAGGAAGAUCCUCCUCCACCCUCGACAGAUCCUAACGAAGAGUCUCCUCCCCCCAAGUGCAUAUGUAAUUAUUGUGGGUCUAACUUCUUGUGUGUCAGUAGAAAACAUGGGACCAGUCAUUUGUGGAACCAUUUUAAGAAAGUAUGCGACCUAAGUCCGUAUAAGAUUGAUGAGCAGAGACAAAAGACUUUAAGCUUUCAACAUGUAAAGGGAGUGAAAGAGGGGGAGACAAGCUUAGUAGUGGUAGCUUAUAACAAAGAAGCUUGUAGGGUAGCCCUCACACAAUAUAUUGUGUUGGAUGAGUUGCCAUUUAGACAUGUCGAGGGUGAAGGGUUCAAAAGAUUUGUCAAAACACUCCAACCUAGGUUUGAGAUCCCUUCUCGAAUGACUGUUGCUAGAGAUGUAUUGAAGUUAUAUAAGGAGAAGAAGGGAACAUUGAAAAAUAUUUUGAGCCGUGAGAGGAUAUCGAUUACUACCGAUACUUGGACUUCCAUUCAAAAUUUGAAUUACAUGGCCAUCACUGCUCAUUGGAUUGAUAAUUCUUGAGAGUAUCAGAAAAUAAUUAUCAAUUUUUGCCAAGUGGUAGAUCAUAAAGGGGAAACCAUUGGCCAUGAGAUCGACUUAUGUCUUUUAGAUUGGGGCAUCUCUAAGUUGUUUACCAUUAUGGUAGACAAUGCUUUGUCUAAGGAUGUUGCCAUUAGAUACUUGAGGCAACAAUUCAAGGAGAAAGAGAGAGGCCUAAUUUUGGAUGGAAAGUUUUUACAUAUGAGGUGUUGCGCUCAUAUUGUGAACCUAAUUGUCACUAAAGGGCUGAAGGAAAAAUAUGGGUCAAUUGCAGCAAUUAGAAAUGCUGUGAGGUUCGUUAGGUCUUCUCCUGCUAGGCUAAAAUUUUUUAAGGAGCGUGUCAUGCAGGAAAAGAUUGAAUGUAAAGGGCUUGUGUGUUUAGAUUUCCCAACAAGAUGGAACUCCACAUAUCUUAUGCUCAAUUGUGCAAUGAAAUUUCGGAAGGCAUUUGACAGGAUGAAAAGAGAUGCUAAUUAUAUGAAAUAUUUUGAUGAGGUUGACAAAGAUGGAAUACCAAAGGAGGGGCCCCCCACUGUUGAUGAUUGGGAAAAUGCUACAGUGUUUUUGAGGUUUUUGGAGACUUUUUACGAAGUAACAUUAAAGUUUAGUGGGUCUACUUAUGUUACUGCUAAUAAGUACUUCAUUGAGAUCUCCAAUAUGCAACAAGAGUUGUGUGACUUAGUAGCUGACGAUGAUGAGAAUGAGUUAUUGAGGACAAUGGCAAUGAGCAUGAAACUAAAGUAUGACAAGUAUUGGGGAAAACUCGAUAAUUGCAAUGAGGCACUUCUAAUUGCCUUGGUCCUUGACCCAAGAUACAAGCUUGAAUAUCUCAAUCAUUGCUUUAGUGCUACUUAUGAUGAGAUGACGUGCAAAGAGACGGUGAAAAAGGUAGAGAAGACAAUGCGGGCAAUGUUUAAUCAAUAUAAUGAGACAACAUCAAGUCUUCAUCCAUCGGCAUCAAUGACUUAGCUACAAUCAACCUCUAUUGUUAGUUCUUCAUCCACAUUCAUCAUGCCUGUUAGUGGUCGACCUAGUGCCAACAAGAAGUCACGAAAUUUGCAUGAUGAGUUUGUGGCACGGAGAUUGGAGAAGGAUGAUGGAGUGACAAAAAAUGAGGUCGAUAAAUAUUUGGAAGAGGAACCUGAGCGACCAACUGAGAAUUUUGAUGUUUUGGGAUGGUGGGCUAGUAGUGGGUGCAAGUACAAGAUCUUGUCACUCAUGGCUCGUGAUGUGUUAGCUAUACCGGUUACCACCGUUGCUUCUGAGACGGCAUUUUCUAUAGGAGGUCGAAUUUUAGAUCCUUUUAGAAGCUCACUAAGCCCAAGGAUGGUCGAAGCAUUAAUUUGUCUCAAUAACUGGUGGAGCGGAUCACAUCAACCCAUCAUUGUUCGAGACUAUAUGGAUGAAGAAGAAGCACUUCAAACAUCAGAGUAUCUUGAGUCAGAGAUGACCAAUGAUCCUACAAGUGCUGGGCCUGAGCCAGCUUCAUCCUCUGUCAAUUUUCAGUCUUCAGCCUCAUCUGCUGCACAACAAUCUAUAAAUUAAAAGAAUUGCAAUUGCUUGAAUGAAGGAAAGGAAGGAAGGAAAGGAAAGAAUGAAAGGGCAUGGACUUUUCAUGUAUUUUGAAUUUUUAUAGACUUAAUUUAAUGUUUAUGGUUGUAGACGACUUAUGGACUUUAUUUUGGUUUUGUGGUUAACUAGUUAUGUACUUAAGUUUAUGGAUUUUAUCGUUGUUUAUUUAUGGUUGUAUUUUGGGACUUUGACAUUUUUAAUGUUUGUUUUGUAAUUGAUAAUUUGAACUUUAUUUGUAUUUUAAGUGUUUGAUUUGAUUGACAUUAUAUUUUAACUUCUUUUUUCUUUUCUUAUUUUUUUUUAAAUUAAAGGAUGUAUAAUAACAUAGUUUAAAUGAUAAAACAUUUUGAAAA